GAUGAAGAACGCAGCGAAAUGCGAUAAGUAAUGUGAAUUGCAGAAUUCAGUGAAUCAUCGAAUCUUUGAACGCACCUUGCGCUCCUUGGUAUUCCGAGGAGCAUGCCUGUUUGAGUGUCAUUAAAUUCUCAACCCUUCCAGCUUUUGUAGUUGGUCGUGGCUUGGAUGUGGGGGUUUAUGCAGGUCUCUUUGAGAGAUCAGCUCCCCUGAAAUGCAUUAGCGGAAUGGUUUGCGAUCCCAGUCACCGGUGUGAUAAUUAUCUACGCCAACUGACUGUGAAUGCUCUCUGUUGUUCUGCUUCUAACUGUCUUGUAUUAAAAAGACAACUUGAAAUGAACUCUUGACCUCAAAUCAGGUAGGACUACCCGCUGAACUUAAGCAUAUCAAUAAGCGGAGGA
rnacentral:misc_RNA from 1 species